GUAUCUGUAGUUCAGUUGGGAGAGCAACGGACUUUUAAUCCGUGGGUCGCGAGUUCGAACCUCGCCGGACGCA
rnacentral:tRNA from 1 species